rnacentral:rRNA from 1 species
AACGCGAAGAACCUUACCCGGGUUUGAAAUACAGAGGACGAUACCAGAAAUGGUAUUUCCCGCAAGGGUCUCUGAACAGGUGCUGCAUGGCUGUCGUCAGCUCGUGCCGUGAGGUGUUGGGUUAAGUCCCGCAACGAGCGCAACCCUUAUCAUUAGUUGCCAACAUUUAAGGUGGGGACUCUAGUGAGACUGCCCAGGUUAACUGGGAGGAAGGUGAGGAUGACGUCAAGUCCGCAUGGCCUUUAUAUCCGGGGCUACACACGUGCUACAAUGGUCGGUACAGAAGGCAGCGAAGCCGCGAGGUGGAGCAAAUCCCUAAAAACCGAUCUCAGUUCAGAUUGUAGGCUGCAACUCGCCUACAUGAAGUCGGAAUUGCUAGUAAUGACGUGUCAGCAACAACGUCGUGAAUACGUUCCCGGGCCUUGUACACACCGACUGUAC